AAACUCUUCCCUUGCUUCUAACAAGCCCUCCUGACUCUGAAUGACCUCUCAGUUCUCCACAGAAGCGAGGGCCGCAGCUCAUGGAAAGCCAGCAUCUCUCCCGAGCGAGCCAAGGGCAGAGCAGCAGCACACACAAAGGUGAUGGGUUCCUCCACAGGCAGCCACACGCACGCACCGUGCGCCGCCUCUCCGGGCUACCUGUCUCGUCUUGUUUUAGCCGUUUCUAAUGAGCAGGCAGGGUACUGGAGCAUGCAGAAAUCUUGCUUUUUGAAGCACCCUGAAAACAGGCUUGUAUUUUUUUGGUACCUUGGUGGCCCAGAGGAACUUGUCAGGGAGCAAGCACCAAAUAGGCAGUAAAAUAGGCACAGCUAUGGGGGAACCUCAGUUUCAUGCUUCUUGGGCUUCUCAGUGACCUACAAGAACCAAGAAACACCAGAAGAGACUGAAACUGCCUCUCUCUUGCUCAUUCUUCAGUGCCAGAUCACAUCAGGCUGUAAGAUACCUGAGGACUAUUUGUUUGCAGACUGCUGGAAGACAGAGAGGGAGUCACCUAUUGUAAAAAACUCAAAAGAACAUGAAAAGGUCUUCUUGUGAUCAUCAAAAUCAUCAGCAAAGUAGCAGAACCUGUCAGUAGAAGUUUGUGUUCGAUUCAGUGCAAGUCAUCUGCCUUGUGAGCCUAUCUGAUACUUGGAUCAAAGCUGAACUGCAGUCAGAAGGAAAGAAGGAAGUGUUCAGAAGAAUUGAAACGAGGCUGGAUUCUCAGAAACACAAAGACAAAUCCAUUUCCUCAGCAAGCUGAUGCAACUCUGAAGAUGCCAGUAAGGGAUGAACCAAUUCUGAAAUUAAUUUGGCUUGCAUUCUCUGACAGUCUCCAUUAUUUUACUGUCCUCCUUUAUUCUUUUUUAAGUUAAGUAAGUCUGCAGAUCUGUAAGUAUUUUGGAUUUGCUUGGGACAAAGGAUGGAACAGACUUGCAAAGUCUGUCUUCAAACCCAUUCUGGGAAGGACAGACUCAUUGCCACUCAGCCUGCUUGGGUUAGUGAGUGAAUUUAGAAAUGGCAAAGGCAAUCAGCUGAGGGCAGAGAGGGGAAACCAUCAUAGUUACCACUUUGGGAGGAAAUAAAAGCCGAGUUUGUUAGCUCAGAGGAGGACAGUUUUGAAAAUUCCUGUUUGCGCACAGAGGCCAGCAGAGCUACCCUGUGUUGAGGAUAGGCUCAUUUGUACAUCUGGAGUGGGUCUUGGGUAUGCUUUACUCUGGAGCUGGAAAGGAUGUCUUCUGUGGCACAUAUUUGAAAACUGAAAGACAAGCUGAAAGUUUCUUAAUCCAUUGACUACUGAUUUGAGCCACAAGUAACACAGCUCCAACUGUGUGAUGGACUGAAGUGUAUGCUCCCCCUUCUAUUUUAAAAACACUCUCUCUGAAUUAAAAUUUAUGCUGUUCAUGCACUAGUACUAAUGCUUGAGAAAUAGUGGCCAGCUUUCUGAGCUGCCUAGCUGAAUUCACAGAUAAAAUUCUCGUGACUCAUGGACAAUUCUCUUCUAGCUUCCUGGUGAGGUUGUAGAGAAAAUACUGCUAGAUUACUAACCCUAACAAUAGCAUGACUUGGAAAGAAGCCUUUGAAAAUAAACUCUUAAUGUAUCAAAUAAAUCUAUGUGAGAUGCAAAGCUAGAGUUCACUCUUC